rnacentral:lncRNA from 1 species
AAGGACGGGUGGGGCAGGACUGCCGGAGCAGUUGUAACAUUUUUUCAGCAACAGUCUCCCGCCCGGUGUGUGUGUGGGGAGGGCUGGUUGUUCCCCCCGCACCAGCCGCCGCCGCGCGGGGGCCCCGCACCAGGCCCCGCGCCCCGCAGGGCCGAGCGCCUGGGAACCGCGCGCGGAGAACGCCCCGCGGGCAGGCGGCUCGGGGGAACCGGCUCCUCCGGCGGCCUCGCCCACUGCAAUGCAAUCUGGGUGGUUUUUCCAGGUCCCUCCCUGCCGCCUUCCGCGCCCAGUCCCUGCCCCCGCGACGCCUGCGGGCCUGGGAGAGCGCGCGGGGACGCGCGGCCCGGGCGGGGCGAGGCUGACGCCGCUGAGCCCGCGGAGGGGGCUAUGGGCGCCCUUCCGGAUCCCGCACCUGAAAGCACGGGACGCUGGGGCUCCGGCUGCCGACAAGGGGCCAGGGCAAAGCAAAGGAAGUGGGCCCCUGCACCGGAGGAGGCUGCAGUCUCCAGCGAGCAGCCAGCACCGAACGAGGAGGAGCAGUUAAGAGGAAACGGCGUGGGGGUCCACGGUGCCCGAAAGUUUGUUUGGUGGCCGAGAGUCCAGCCCUCUUCGCCCCCGCGACCCGCGAGGGUAUGUUUUAUGACAGGAGAUUCCCUGAAUUUCUCAUGAUUAUUGCUCUUUAAGUGUGAUGUUUUCUUCUCACCUUCCUUUGGAUUAUCUCAAG